rnacentral:rRNA from 1 species
CAAAAGCUUAAAAUUUAAAAGACUUGACGGUACUUCACAACAGCCUAGAGGAGCCUGUCCAAUAACCGAUAAUCCACGAUCAACCCAACCACCACUAGCCACACAGUCUAUAUACCGCCGUCGCCAGCCUACCUUGUGAAAGCAAAAAAGUAAGCACAACAGCACAUAACGCUAACACGACAGGUCGAGGUGUAACUAAUGAGGUGGACAAGAUGGGCUACAUUUUCUAACACAGAACAAACGGAUAUACCAUGAAACUGGAAACUGAAGGAGGAUUUAGCAGUAAGAUAAGAACAACACACUCAACUGAAAAUAGCAAUGAAGUGCGU